CAGAGUAGAACUGCCCCAUAGGGUUUCUAAGGAGAGACUGGUGGAUUUGAACUGCUGACCUUUUGGUUAGCAACCGAGCUUUUAACCACUGCGCCACCAGGGCUCCAAGCCGAUCACAAAACAAUGGAAUUAUCUGCUUUGUCUCUUGAAAACAGCCCUAUAGCCAUGGCCCUAGUUCAAAGUUUUGUCAUCUCUUUGCCUGGUCUCCCUUUCUCUCUUCUAACACAUCCUUCAAAACACCACCAAAGUUACAUCGGUAAAACAUUUCACUCCUUCCUUCAACCACUUCUCACCUUCAGUGCUCCACCACCUUCUGUGCUACACCUGGCCUGGCCUUGAGGUCUCACGUCGUCUGCCACCAGAUCCCACUGGGCACUCCGUGCACCAACCACAUCUCGCUAGUGCUCCCCCCUGAACAGCACACUUUCUGUUACCUGAUUUCAAGUCAUGCUGGGACUUCAGCAGCACUCCUUGGGAGAAACAGGAGGAGGGUGCAAGAAUGGGGGUUGGUGAACCCAAAGAAGCUACAGAAGCUGCUGUCCUAUGAGGGGGGCACACGAGGUGUGGCUUGUCAGUUGUCUGACCCAGCAGGUACUUCUGGAUGAGGGUAUGGCCACGUUCCAAGGACCCAGUCAAGCACGUUAGUGUGCAAGGCCUGCAUCCCGUCCUGAGACUUUGAACUCAAGGCAGGAGGCUGACUGUGACAUAGAAGAUACUGUAAAUCCCCUGGAGCCCAGCAGCCAGGGCCAUGACCAGGGUCUGGCUCCCCACUGCCUCGCUGAUAUCUCCCACCUCACUCCUCUUCCACCUUGCUGGCCUUCAUGUUAUUCCUUAAACAUUGUAAGUGUAUUCCUGCCACGGGGCCUUUGCAUUUGCUCUGUCCUCUGCCUAGAAGGCCUUUCCCCUGGAUUUUUAAACGAUUUGCCCCUUCAAUUCAUUUAAAUCUCAAAUGAAAUAUUGCUUCCUCACUCGUUUUCUGUAAUUAAAUACUACCUCCUGCUCUUCCACCUCCAUCACUCUUAUCCCCUCACCUUUAUUUUACAGUUCUCCAUAGCAGUUGUCACAACUUGAACUUGCAUUAUUUGUUGCUUGGUUGCUGUUGUCUGUGUCCGCCACCGGAGGACAAAGACUUUGACUCGUUUCCUGCUAUAUCGCGGAACACCUACAUAUAGUACCUGGCACAGAGCAGGAUUGGCUGGUACUGAGCCAAGCUCGUUGGCAGGUUCACAGAUGAAAGGCUGGCAAAGGCCAAGACCCAAUUUCACACUUGCCCCUGGACCACUGGUGUUCCUGCUGCCAGAUGUUAGGAAAUGGAGCUCAGAGAGGUGAAGUUUGUGGCUCAAGACCACCCAACUCAAGGGAAGGAGUGGGACCUGGAACCUACUUCUUCACAUGCCCCAGGCCACACGGCUUAUCUGUAAGGUGACUGGCCUGAAAACACCAGCGCUGCUUCUGGAUGCCCCUCAGUGGUUCCACAGCUUUGGGCAACUUGUACAAUCUGUAGGGUGACUGAUCUUCACUCAAGUGCCUUAGAGGGCAAGAACUGAGCCUGAUUCUUCUCUACAGCCCCAGCUCUCAGCACAGGUAAGACAUCUAAUGGGGUCAAUAAAUGUAAACUGGAUUGCUCUUUGCAAUAGCAAGUACACACACACACACAUUCUGCUUCAGAGGCUGAGGUUAAGGGUUACAUGACCUGAAGGAGCUGGCUGCCCGUGUCAUUGGGCUGAAACCACUGUGGGCUGGCAUGCCAGGGCUGUUUGCUGGAGAAGGGAACACUUAGGUCUGAAAUAAAUCCUAACUUUAAAAAAGAAACAUAACCAAUAGGUGUUCUAUUUAUAUGAAGCAACCUCUGUUUUUAGGUAGCAGUGCUCCCACCUCACCUCCCCAAGGUGAACCCUACCCUCCCACAGGUCCCUUCCACACCCCACCCGGUAAUCAUGGUCUCACCUGCCCCACCUUUCCUCCCCUGCUUGCUCUCUGGGGUUUCCCUCGAUUGCAGGGUAUGAGUUUCCAGACGCCCCAGAGGCCUGUCUCAUGCGUGGCCCCAGACUCCCUCCCCACUCCCUGCCUGCCCUGCCCUGCCCUUCUCACCAGGCAGUUAGUGAGGAGCAAGCCAGAGUGAGGACCUUUGGGCCCUUUGGGUAGGUUGGGGAGGGGGCAGGGCAGGGAGUCAGUCUGUGACUAGAUUAGCCCCUUAACUGACCCAGAGAGGGGAAGAUUAAUGACUGAGUUCACAGAGGGAGCCAAGUUCUCCUUCCAGGCUCCUGUCAAACCACCAGGACCUCACUGCCUGUUGUUGUUAGCUGCCAUGGAACUGGCCCCCAACUCAUGACGAGCCCAUGCACGAUGAGAUCAGACACUUGUGCCCCACAGGGUUUUUGUUGGCUGAUUUUUCAUACGCAGAUCACCAGGCCUUUUUUCCUUGUCUGUCUUAGUCUGGAAGCUCUGCUAAAACCUGUUCAUCAUAGCAGCACACUAGCCUCCACUGACAGACAGGUGGUGGCCGUGCUUGAGGAGUGUUGGCUGGGAAUUGAACCAGGGUCUCCCACAUGGAAGGCGAAAAUUCUACCACUAAAAAAUACAGGGUCCAUGUGGUGCAGUUAAAGGAACAUAAGUUUUGGCAUCGUGGUCACUGUCCUGGUUCCUGGGCAGCCGCCAGCACUUAGCUCACCUAACUCCCUAAAUCCCUCUGCGCCUCAGACUCCCCACUGGCGAAACAGUUAACACCCGUGUCUGCUAAGAGGCCUGAGUCACACAGUAAGGCAGGCAAAGCACAAGCCCGGCUACUCCCAUCAGCGGGGCUGUUUGUGAAAUCUGGCAGGGAGAGAAGUUUGGAGCUGAGAGCAGUAGCUUCAGUAGACAGGCCUUGUGAAACACUGCCCCAUCCUGUGCGAUCUUCAUGAUCGUUGGUAUGUUUGAGUAUAUUGUUGUGGCCGUGGUGUCAAUCCAUCUCAUUGAUGGUUUCCCUCAUUUUUUGCUGACUUGACUGAACAAUCACCCUACCAUGGUGGCCAAAAGGCCCUUUGUCACCCAGCUCCUGCCUCCCUCUCUAUUCUCAUCGCUCACCCUCACCUCCUCCAUACACCCCCUUAUCUCAGGGAGCCCCUGGGCCUAACAGCACAACUCCCUCUGGCAAGGCUUCUUGCUCCUAAUGGGAUGUCAGAUUAGGGGAGAGCCCCAACCUUCAAUGUGCUGGCAGCUCCCUCCAGCCUCCAGCCAGGUUCUAGAAAGACGCCAGGGCAGGCCUGAGGCUGGGGGCUGGGUCUCACUGUCCUGGGAACUUCUGAGCCUCCCUCACAGCUCAGCACUCAGGCAGGCACCCAACAAACCACAGCUGUGGUUUCCAGCGAGCCAGGACUCCCGCUGUAGGGACAGUAAGCUGAGAAGUGCUGUAGCUAUAAAUGUAGAGUGGGGAACCGCGGGACACUGCUGCAGCCCAGCAGUGGGUAGGAGCCAGCCCCCCAGCCUCCUGCAGGCUUCAGGCCCAGCUCACCAAGCCUCUGAAGUGGCACAGACCCGCCCACCGGGGCUCUGAGCUCUGAGCAGGGCUGCUGGGGUUCUUUGGAGGGCCCCGACCCAGGUCCUGGCCACAGCUGGGGACUGGGCAGGCAGGGGACUACAUAGCAUCUCGGGUACCUUAUGCCUCCAGUGGUCAGUGCCACUGGUCUCUGCUCACACCACAGCCUUGUUUUAUGUUGAUUUACCCAAGAGGAGGGGACACCCACUCUUUUUGGUGCUUAGUGCUUGCAACUGUCUUCUUCCUGGCCCAGGUUAGCACCAGGCCACAGCUCCAGGCACAUCUGGAGGAUGCAAGGGGCACAGUCAGUGUUGCCUUGGGGUGGAGAGUGGGGGGACGUGGGUCUCCUGUGGCCUUGAUGAGCACCCUCAGAGGCACAGCAGGAAAGGAGACCCUGGGGAGGUGCAGCCGUGACUCACCCAAGUGUCCACUCAGAGCUCUCAGAAACUUGGAAGGGUCACUGUGCCCACUUCAGAGGUGAGGGCUCACACACAUAGAGAAGGGCCCUUCUCCUCUGGCCCCUCUCAGCCUGCCAAGGGCCUGAGUCUCUGUGCCAACACCCACACUGCACUGGACAGUCUGGGGAAACAUCAGACCAUGAGGGGCCACCAGGCACAGCCCCCUUGGUAGACUGAGUAGACUCGGCCUGUUCACUGCCUGCUCAGAGACAAGCAUCAUCCCUCUUCGUAAAGGAAUGAGCUCGGGGUGUUUCUAGGAGCCCCUUCCCAGAGGCUGACCCUCUGGGGUUGGCACCCUUGGAUCUCUGGGCUGGAGCCCCCUCGGGUAGAGAGAAGGAAGGAGACAUCAACGGCCAACAGUUGAGACAGAGGCCCUCCUGAGAGGUUGUCAUUGGGGAACUCCGCGCUGGGUGAUGGUAAGAGAAAUCUUCACAGGUCUAGGGGUCGCCUCUGCCAGCUGGUGG